rnacentral:lncRNA from 1 species
CAGCAUUAUCAAAUUUACUCCUCGGCCGAGCCUCGGCCGACGAGUUGGCACGCCCCGCAAUCACCGAAGGACGUAGUUAGCUUAUUAAUUACUCAGCCUGCGCGCCACGUAGGCUUUGUAGUUUCUAGGGUCAACAACUACCCUCUGAUGGGGUUAUACAGAUGUCUCCGAAAGGUAAGAAAAAUAAACCACAUCAUUCAAAAAUAAGAAAAGUAAAUCACAUCUUUCUGGUGGGGUGUUUAUUCCUUGCUUUUGCAGUGUCCCCAUAUGCCUCCCUUUUGCUUUCUGCUUUUUUCUUUUCUGCUGCACUUCUCUCUGUCUCUUCACCUGGCAGACAAAAAGAAUCAUAAUAAUAGGCUUAUCUUUUGCUUUUGUAUUUUCUCUGCAACUUUGAAGCUUGCCUCGCUUAAAAAGACGAAUAGGGGUGACAGCUUGCACCUCCCUCUUUUGCUUUUGUCGUUCUCUUUUCACUUUCUCAUAAAAUAAUUUCACAUGGCAUUAUCCUUUUACUUUCUCACAUCCAUGAAACCGCAAGCACAGCUUUCUCCUUUUGCUUUAAUUUUUCAAUUAACCAUUUUCCCCUCACACAGUCCAUUUCCAGAUCUCUACUUUCAUCAUUGGUUUUUCUUGAUUGAUGUUCCUCUGCAGAUUUUGAGCUUGAGAUCCACUGAGCACAUGGAGGGCAACCACACAAUCACCAGGCUGACCCAUCUGGACCAGAGCCCACAUCAAUAGCUCUCUACUCUUCGAGUCUAGCUUCUGCUCCUUGUGAGGAGGUAGGCGAGGAAGGAAUGGAGACCCACAUAAACUUGACAAAUCUGGCAGUGACUGAACUCAUUCUCUCUGCUGAAAAACGCAGUCAGUAUAGGGAAAUCGAAUUGGGAAGAAAUGUGGACUGUGGAUGCUUCAAGGAGGAUUUAGGUGUCAGGAGGCGUGAUCGAACUGAUUGCGGAGGAGAAUGGCGGACGUUGCUCGGGCCUCGGCGGCUGGAGAGAACCGGAAAAGGUGAGCGAGUUUGAGGCAGAACGCGGCGACACAACAAGCUGAUCCCAUGAUCGUCCAGAUACCGUAAGUUCUGACGGUGAACCAAAAUUUCACGUGCGUUUCAUUCAGUUUAGGAUUUUAGACAUUGAAAUAGGUCUUCAUCUUCUUCUCCUGCAUAAAACUGAGAGAGGAUGAGGUUGAGGGUGAAAUGGCAGAAGCAACGGGCCUGGAGGCUUUUCUUGACGGCGGAAUCUACAGCGGGGACGAUGAAUCCACUUGCUCAUUUGCUCAAUUCCAACAACACAUCCACUGAGAGGCAGAGAGAUUGGAUUCAAAUUGAGAAAAUUUUGGAAGACGGGGACUGAUUACUCGCGGUAGAUGGUGGCCUCAUAGAGGAUUGAACUGGCCUCUGUGGAUGAUGUGCUGGAAUCCCAGUUGGCCGCAUUUGAGAACUAGAACCGAGUGAACCCAUCAUCCCCAUUCCCUGCAUUGACGGUCUCACCUGGGAAGGACUGGAAUUGGAUACAGAUUCAGGCACAGAGACACCGCAGCGGCCCAUCCCACCAAAAUGAUGCCCAUAGGAAGACGAAUACGGAGUGGGUUUCUUUUCUUUCUUUUUUUCUGGGUUUUUGUGAUUUUGCAGAUUCAAGGUGGAGUGUGGUGAGGUCUCACAGUGGUGAGAUAAAAAAAAUGAAAAAGAACCGACAUAGCUUUUUGUGUCGAUUCCCACAGACGGUGCCAAAUGUUGAUGCACAAAACUGGAGGUCUUGGAACAACGUAAAUCCGACUGUGAAUCUGCAAAAAAUGUAAAUAACACAAGAUGUAUCGUGGUUCACCCCAAGAUUUGGGCUACAUCCACACUGAUUAUUGUAUUUCUCUGUUUAUGAGCCUUGUGGCUUUGUAUGUGAGGGAGAGAGAUUCAGAGCCUCUGAGGGAGAGAGUGAGGCCUCUGAUGGCCUAGGAAUUGGUCUCCUCUAAUUAUGAGGGUGAUGGGUCCUUUUAUAGAAUAAGGGCUCCUCACUUAUUACAUAUUUGCCCCUACCUUUAUUACAUAAUUACAUUUGAGUCUCCUGAGUAUUUAUACAAGAUCUAAAUACGGAGGCCCUAAGUAUGGUACAAACAUGUUGCAAGUUCACUUUGGUUGAUGGCGGCCGAUUGAAUGAUUAAAGGGAGGACAAGGUCUGCAAAUUAAGGAUCACACGUAUUGCCUUAACAAAACCCUAAAAAGAAUUUGGGCAUUGUGUCAUAUUGUGGAAACAUACACAUGGAAAGAGAAAGGCAAAGGACAUGAGUGGAGAAACCAGGCUAGAAAGUAGAACAACCCCAUUUAUUUGCUCCCAUGGAGUACCACCCUUUUGCUUCAAAGUCCCUCUCAUGUGAUUUAAUACAAGCCACGGAAUAAAAUCUAGUGCUCGCUUGGCGUGUGGGUGUUUUUUAAAAGUACCCCCAAUAUUCGAGAAAAGGGUCACAACGAUUCUUUUAUAAAUUAGUAGUUGAACAGUUGUAACCCGGAGUUGUAUACACCGCAAUAUUCAAUUCUCCAAUGAUUGCAUCAUUGACGGGGGAAUGCUUAUUAUUGUAAUUAUAUAUAAUGUGGUAGUACGGAAUUGUAUUUGAAUUUCUUUGAACCAGAAAAUAAAAGUUCAUGAAGACAUAAGGGGCAGUCCAAUUAUACGGAGAUAAUUUUCCACACUAUAUAUGGUUUGCUUUCACGCUGCUCCACCAAAAGAUAAAAAGAGCACAGUUUUUUUGCUUGGCACCCAAAGAAACACAUGUUCAUUUGAAAUUAUUUAAACUUUUGAAACAUAAAAUUCAAUUUUUCGGCCAAAUGUCGUGCCUUUAUGUUUUAAGGCAUCAUGAUAUGUUUUUACGAAGAAAAAAAAUACAUUAUAUUAUAUUAUAUUAACAUGAGAUUACUUAGCAUUUUGCACGCAUGUGUCCUAUUUUUUUACUUACCUUAUCUCUACAUAUUUAACAGAUCAAAACAUAAAGUGGGUGCAAAACAUAAAAUAUUGACGAACAUAGUUGCACUUUUGCAUUAAUGGUCCUCGUGGUAAAAGGUAAUCAGAAGAUAGUCCAUGUGGUAAAAACAAAUUAGGAACUUAGAUUAAUGGUUCCCGUUGUGAUAUGAUAACUGAACUUUAGACUGAGUUGAUCGGUGAAAUAAUUGUUUUAUGCAUAAUGCUUGUGUUCCUUUUAUGGGGGACUUGUCUCCAAGGUUUUACAAGACCCUAGGAGCUAGUCAGGUAGCAAACUGGGGUUUAGCUCUUAUGUGGACUAGGCGGAUUUAAAUAAAUUUAUUAUAUAUUGUAUAAAUAGUGUCUGCUUAUAAGUAAAAAAAUAUAAAUUUCAUUGGGAUACAUAAAUUGCAAAAUUGAAUGACAAAUAGAUUAUAAAGUAUCAGAACAUAACAAAAAUAUGGGAAACAAAGCAUAUAAUGGGUGUUUAUUCAAGUAUUUACAAGUGUCUUACAAUUUAUUAAAAAAUAAAAUGUAAAAUAAAAGUUAUAUAUUUUCUGUCUAAACGAGAUUCGCUACCUAGACGGGUUUGGAUGGUCUAGGUGGGUGCCUACACAGGUUCAGGCACCCUUUCGUAAUUUCUAAAUGCCUACAUAUUACUCGGGGUGGUGGCCA